UACGAAGGGUGCAAACGUUGCUCGGAACUAUUGGGCGUAAAGCGCACGUAGGCGGCUUUGUAAGUCGGAUGUGAAAUCCCUCGGCUUAACCAAGGAAGUGCAUCCGAAACUACAGAGCUUGAGUACUUAAGAGGAUCGCGGAAUUCCCGGUGUAGAGGUGAAAUUCGUAGAUAUCGGGAGGAACACCAGUGGCGAAGGCGGCGAUCUGGGAAGAUACUGACGCUGAGGUGCGAAAGCGUGGGGAGCAAACAGG
rnacentral:rRNA from 1 species